UACGGGGGGGGCAAGCGUUGUUCGGAAUUACUGGGCGUAAAGGGCCAGUAGGCGGCCAACUAAGUCCGACGUGAAAUCCCAAGGCUUAACCUUGGAACUGCGUCGGAUACUGGAUGGCUUGAAUUCGGGAGAGGGAUGCAGAAUUCCAGGUGUAGCGGUGAAAUGCGUAGAUAUCUGGAGGAACACCGGUGGCGAAGGCGGGUCUCUGGGCCGUAACUGACGCUGAGGAGCGAAAGCGUGGGGAGCGAACAGG
rnacentral:rRNA from 1 species